rnacentral:rRNA from 1 species
CGGAGGGUGCAAGCGUUAUCCGGAUUCACUGGGUUUAAAGGGUGCGUAGGAGGGUAGGUAAGUCAGUGGUGAAAUCUUCGAGCUUAACUCGGAAACUGCCGUUGAUACUAUCUAUCUUGAAUACCGUGGAGGUGAGCGGAAUAUGUCAUGUAGCGGUGAAAUGCUUAGAUAUGACAUAGAACACCAAUUGCGAAGGCAGCUCGCUACACGAAUAUUGACUCUGAGGCACGAAAGCGUGGGGAUCAAACAGGAUUAGAUACCCUGGUAGUCCACGCCCUAAACGAUGGAUACUCGACAUACGCGAUACACAGUGUGUGUCUGAGCGAAAGCAUUAAGUAUCCCACCUGGGAAGUACGACCGCAAGGUUG